UACAGAGGUGGCAAGCGUUGUUCGGAAUUACUGGGCGUAAAGGGCGUGUAGGCGGCCUUCUAAGUGAGGCGUGAAAUCCCCCGGCUUAACCUGGGAACUGCGUCUGAUACUGGAUGGCUUGAGUCCGGGAGAGGGAUGCGGAAUUCCAGGUGUAGCGGUGAAAUGCGUAGAUAUCUGGAGGAACACCGGUGGCGAAGGCGGCAUCCUGGACCGGCACUGACGCUGAGGAGCGAAAGCCAGGGGAGCAAACGGG
rnacentral:rRNA from 1 species